rnacentral:lncRNA from 1 species
CGGGGUAUGGGGACGGCCCUGGAAUAUGAUUUCAAGUGUUAAGGGUUAACGGGUAGCGGGACCCCUAUGGAUCCCCAUGGAUACUAGUGGGAUGGUAAAAGAGGAUUAAUAUGUUGUGUAACGAUUGAAUUACGAAAGGCUUGAUAAGUAUUAUGUUAUACAGUUUAUAUAUGAUUUCAUGAUGAUGAUGAUGUUAUUGCUUUCGUACACUGUUUUAUGG